UUCAGACAUGUAAAACUCGACAGUUCACUCUCCUUUGCGUUGAGAUCUUGGCAGUGGUCCUCUUCUUGGUUUUGGCGCUGGACGUUUUGUUAUGUCUUGUUUCUCGUCUGUUUUUAUGCUCUGUAAGCCUUCCUGCUAUGAGUGUUCCCUUUACCCCCAAGUGUACUGUAUAUCUGUGCUGCAUGUGUGAACCCCAAUAAAUUCUGUUCCAGGUUUUCGGAGUUUUCCUCUUAAGUACAGCUGGUCCUCUCGUGAACUCAUCUUUCUGGAAUGCUCCUCUGUGUCUGAUUCCCAUAUUGCCAAAAUGUUUGACCAAGUGUGUUUUAACAAAUGCCCAAG
rnacentral:lncRNA from 1 species